UACGUAGGGGGCUAGCGUUGUCCGGAAUCAUUGGGCGUAAAGCGCGUGUAGGCGGCCCGGUAAGUCCGCUGUGAAAGUCGGGGGCUCAACCCUCGAAUGCCGGUGGAUACUGCCGGGCUAGAGUACGGAAGAGGCGAGUGGAAUUCCUGGUGUAGCGGUGAAAUGCGCAGAUAUCAGGAGGAACACCAAUGCGAAGGCAGCUCGCUGGGACGUUACUGACGCUGGAGACGCGAAAGCGUGGGGAGCAAACAGG
rnacentral:rRNA from 1 species